GAUGGCAUCAUUUUAUUUUUAAACUACGGGGGCUGUGGAUGAGCAUGCGGUUGAUUAGCUAGUUGGCGGGGUAAAGGCCCACCAAGGCGAUGAUCAAUAGGGGACCUGAGAGGGUGAUCCCCCACACUGGCACUGAGAUACGGGCCAGACUCCUACGGGAGGCAGCAGUAGGGAAUAUUGGACAAUGGGUGUAAGCCUGAUCCAGCCAUGCCGCGUGCAGGAAGAAGGCCUUCUGGGUUGUAAACUGCUUUUGCCGGGGAUAAAAGAUCCAUGCGUGGAGAAUUGAAGGUACCCGGUGAAUAAGCCACGGCUAACUACGUG
rnacentral:rRNA from 1 species